CUGAAGAGUUCUGUCGCCAGGGAAACGUCAUCCAGUUGAUUCCACACCACCACAGCCCUGCUCCCACCACCCUCUGCCUGGUCUGGUCGCUGAUCUGCCCAGACAAUGCAGGGUUUCACUCUGAGAGACAGAACCUGUCUGUUUUUUCCUCGUUUGCCUUCCCUUUUUCCAUCCCCCUGGAGGCUGAGCAGGGAAAGUCACAGCUUUUCUUGCUGACUGACAUCUCCGGAUCAAAAGAAAACAGAAUCUUAGAAUGUCGCUGGCAGAGAGGGCCCGCUCAAGUCUAAUAUGGCCCUGUCACUCUACAGUGGUGACAACUGUGGCUACAGGGACCCUGAACAUUAUGGCUGGAUUCCACCCCAGCUUAAUUCCAGGCCAGGAGGAGCCCAGCUGGGGUAUUAUUCAUUUGGAAGGUGCCUGCUUUAGCAGCCAGGACCCUCUUGGAAAGCUGGUGAUGUCCAGUUCUGGCCCAAGUAACUCCAGCAAGUGACUGGGUGGGAGAGGUCUGUCUCCAGGGAAGACAGGUGGGUUCCUUCUCCACCUGUCUCAUCUUCCACCUCCUGAAUUUGAAAGUAUGAACCAAGAACCAUAUAUCUAACGAGUCUGGAAUAUGUGUAAUUCAAGACAAAGGGAGGAAUUGCU
rnacentral:lncRNA from 1 species